CCUUUUUCUAGCUAUAUAACGAAUUAUAAAAAAAUAUUUCAAAAGAAUUUCCGUCUUGUCUCCCGAAGUUAAAUGGAUUUAUGCCACUUUCUGGCUAUAAACAGAACUUUGUAGACAGAAGAGAGGUAAGAUUUCAGAUAAGUAAAGAUAGGAAGAAAUCACGUCAGGAUAAAAACACUAAAAUACCAAAAGAGAGCCAUGAUCAGUUACAAACCAUCCUCAACUAGCACUUGAGUCAUACUCGCCCUCAAAUCACACUCAACCUCAUUCAAUACCUCAUAUGCUACAACCAAACAUCACUUGAAUCAUACCCAUCCUUACAACCAUCAAACUCUUAAACACUCUCAAUCACGUUCGGCUUCACCACCCUACCGACAUCAAUGCCAUCACCUCCUCGAACGUCUGAAACGACCAUCGUUCAAGCCACCUAGCAAGGAAAAUAAAGAGACGACAUUAGUAACCGUUAAAUAACAAAUCAUCACUUCGAAGAGUGAAGGUGCACAAAUCAAAAGUCACUAAAAGACAUUUUAGACACAUUUUAAAAUAUCAUCAUCAGCAUUCCCAUCAUGUUUUAACCAUGACUUGAAUAUUAAUAUAAAUAUAAUUCUACACAUAAUCUGAUUUUAUGCUUGGUAAAUUACAUCUGAAUGAAGCUAAAUUGAACGUCACCUUAGAGGAAUUCAAGUGGCCAGUAAUGGCUUAGGCGAUAAGAAACUUGAUUCAUAUGGGAUAAAAAAAGCCCCCUGGGCAGCAGUGUACUUAAACAAUGUCAUUUGUUGAUUUAAAUAAUAACACCUAAGGGCAUAGUAGCAUGAUUUGAAAUAUACAAAUGCUA
rnacentral:lncRNA from 1 species